GACGAACGCUGGCGGCGUGCUUAACACAUGCAAGUCGAACGGUGAAGCGCCUUCCUUUUUGGUGGGUGUGGAUGAGUGGCGAACGGGUGAGUAACACGUGAGUAACCUGCCCCCUUCUUCUGGAUAACCGCAUGAAAGUGUGGCUAAUACGGGAUAUUCUGGGUCUGUCGUAUGAUGGGUCUGGGAAAGAUAUUGUUUCGGUGGGGGAUGGGCUCGCGGCCUAUCAGCUUGUUGGUGGGGUGAUGGCCUACCAAGGCGGUGACGGGUAGCCGGCAUGAGAGGGUGGACGGUCACACUGGGACUGAGACACGGCCCAGACUCCUACGGGAGGCAGCAGUGGGGAAUAGUGCACAAUGGGCGAAAGCCUGAUGCAGCGACGCCGCGUGAGGGAUGGAGGCCUUCGGGUUGUGAACCUCUUUCGCCAGUGAAGCAGGCCUGCCUCGUUUGUGGGUGGGUUGACGGUAGCUGGAUAAGAAGCGCCGGCUAACUACGUA
rnacentral:rRNA from 1 species